GUAACAAAGCACCUCUAAGAUUCACUAAUUAACAAUUAAUUUAAGCAGCACAAAAACUAAAGUGUGUCUUGGCCCGGCGCAGUGACUUCCUGUAGUCUUGUCAUCACUGUGAGGUUGCCAGGCAGAGAUUCCAGGAAGGAAAUUGUUUCUAGUCUUUAUACAAUUCAGUAUUUUCAGACCAGGAUGUGGCAAAUGAGAAAAUGUUCUAUCAUUUGACAAAUUAUAAAAGCAUUUAGCGAUAAUAAGAUAAAAAAGUUACUUAUUAAUGUAACAACACAGUACAUGCAGUAAAACAGUCAUGAGUCCAAAGAAUGAGCAGACUGACCAAUGAUCUACGGCUCAAGUUUAGGAAAAGUAACUACUGACUUGUCAUGUCCUAACAAACAUCAAAUAGAUGUUGAUUGGAACUGAGCAACCAACCAGUCAUUAUCAUAAAAAAAAAAACACACUAUGACAGAAUACUGCCAAUAUGUAUCUGAAAAUCAAACAAAUAAAAUCCCAAAUCUGUAAAUACUCUGCAGCAGCUGGCAGAAAGAGGAGGUCAUCUUAUAUGGAGAAAUAUAAGCUUUUUAUGGGUGAAUAAAUGUUAAAAAGUAGUGGUGACAAAACAUAAAAAAUAUAUAUAUAUAGGCUACAUACAGUAUUAGCAGUUUGAAUUAAACUGAGGCUCCCUGGGAAAAUUUUAUGCCAAACUCCCUUUAAGAAAUACGACAUAUUAACAAAUUCCUUACGUGUCCGCAAAAACACUCUAGAAACACAAGAUAAAAGGCAUCAUAUGUCGACAGUUUUCUUGUCAAUUUGGCAUGAAUAUAAUCCAUAAUGAUAAACUGUAUUUCUGUACUUAACAUACUUUCCUUACUUCACAUUUUGGAUGUUGUGAGUUUACUGUGUCCUUUCAGAUUUUAACGCAUCAGAGACGCAGGACGCAUACCUAGCAACAUCACUGACAGUGCAAUCAUUAGAUCCACCAUAACCAUUUAGGAGCAGUGGGUAGACCCACAGUGCACCAACUCCUGUUUUGAGGCCAGUGCCUCAGUCAAGGGCAAUGGCAGGAUUCCUACAGUAGUACCUCACAUACUGUAAAUGUCUUCUGUGAUUAGAAAAAAAGAGAUAAAAUGGGUGUGAGAGAAGAAGAGCAGGAGUGUAACAAUAAAGUGGGACGAGUGUUACUCUGUACAUCGUCUGUAUAUCACUUUGACCUAGUCAUCCACAAGCAUAUGUAUUAGCACUGAUAAAAACUUUGCUGAUAACCAAGGCUUAUCUACUGCAGACUCCUUCACUCUCACACACACACACACACACACACACACACACACACACACUGAUAGCAGGCGAUAACUCAAACACUGUUAACGGUAAAUGACAUCAUAGUACCCCAUUUAUUUAAAAAAAGGCAACAGAUACUGACUGGGGAGCUGAUAGGAAAAUAGGCAAUAAAACACUGGUGAUGAUUGAGACAAUACAAUAAGUCUUUCAUGCAUAUACCUCAGUUAUUCAACUUUUAUUGCAUGCACACUCAAAUUUGAGCAAACACACAAAAAUUACAGCAUUCAUAAACAACCACACUAGAUGCCAGUGUGCACCACAUUGUCCCCUACUGUUUUGUUUAUGACUGUUAUGUUUGCUGCAGACUUCUCCCAUGAACGUUUAGUCAUAAAUUAUAGUCAGUCACCCACUCACACACAGAUCAGUGCAUGUCCAUUCAUUUAAUUACAGGGCAAAUAGUAGUUUGUUCAGUGGUGGCAGCAGCACCUUGUCUAAUGAUGUGUUCCUUUGAAAGUCAAGUAGAAAGGAAGUUCAUCAGUGAUAGAGACUGAGCCUACGUGUAGGCUGUAGUACAGCUGUGUCACGGGACUAACCUCGCAGAUGCAGAAAAACGUGCUGCUGUCAGAAACCUGGACAGACUGGAGGGCAAACCCACUCCUUGCUGAAAAAGCCCUAAACACACCCAAAAAUCCAACCCAUCCCACCCACAGGCACAAAUCCUUGGUCAAAUUACCUCGAAUGCUGUUUGCCUCCAGCAAGGUAUAGCUAGACAAAGUGCCAUGAUGCAAGCUUUUCGAUUUCACUUUCAGUGUUGAUCUGACUGUACACCACAGAGCAUCGACAAGCUCUGACUAGUCUCGACUGCUCACUUACUGAGAGGACUACCAAGCCACCCUUAAAAGAUUUCAAAUGUGCAAAAUCUGAUUAACCAAGCUUGCAGUAGUUCAUUCAUAUACAACUUAAAGUGAGGACACCCAAGACUAGGACUACGACAGGAUGAGAUUAUCUCUGCUAGUCUGGUCCACCUCAGUGUGGACCUGCAGUAUAUGAUCACAUUGACCAGACUGAAUUACAGUUUGCCUGCCCAAUGUUGAUAUCAGAUUUCAUCAAAUCUAUUCUAUGAACAUAAAAACGAUAAACAUAGACAAUACAACACUGUCCAAAUUUAGAUUAAAGGGAUGGAAAUCCAGCAAGGACCAGAUUCAGUUACAUUUUUUAUAACAGCUAAGUUGCUCAGUCGUACCCGGGGCUUCCAAUAAGCAAAGUAAGAGCUUUGUGAAUUUGCCCAGGCAUCUGACCUGUCACAUGUUUAAAUUUAUGUUCCUAUCAAAACACGACUUAUAGUCUACAGACAUGCUAUCGGCUCUGCGAGGCUGUACUUAGGCACAGUGGUGCUUUGAGCUAAAUGCUUACGUCAGCAUGCUAACAUGAUACAAUACAAUGACGAUGCUAACACGCUGUUUAGCAGGUAUAAUGUUUACCAUGUUCACUGUCUCGGUUUAGUGUGUUAGCAUGCUAACAAUUGCUAAUUACCACUAAACACAAAGUACAGUUGAGGCUGACAUUUGGUCAUAAACAAACGUAUUGGACAAAAAAAAUUUGACCUUAUGAUGGCACUAGAUUAAAAGUCAGGGGAUCACCAGAGUCAAUAGGAUUCAUCCUCUGGGGAUCAUGAAUCAGUAUUUCAAGGGAAUCCAUCAAAUUUUUGUUGAGAUAUUUCAGUCUGGACCAAAGUGGUGGGCCGAACAACAAACCGAUAUUGCCAUCCCUAGAGCCAUGCUGCUAGCAUAGGCUUCAAAAAUAAAUCAAGGUUCAGUAGGCCAUGGCUAAGGUACCACCUCUGCCUCACUUUGAGCCAAGAAAUACCAUGUUAGUGUGUGAAUACAUUUUAAAUCAGAUUACCCAGCUGUCUAAUGCUAAAGGGAGACGACGUUCUAACAAAGUUGACCAACUCUAUUGCAACGCGGUGUUCGAAUAAUUUAGAUAGUGGGAAUAAAAUAUUUACUAGUAAGCAAUGACCAGAUUUACUUACACCCACCUAAGACCGGAUAUUUAUACUGGAGAUGGACAAAAUAACAGGAACAACUGGCAAAAUCACACAAUCCAAUGCAUCCUUACAAUGAAUACGAUUUAAGCUCAGAAUGUUCCGUCUUUGUUGAGACUGGUGUUGAAUCAGCUCUAUGGUGAAUUCUGAAGCGGCAGUUUGCGGUACUGUUGUAUCAGAAUGUAUUAUACUUUAAGGUGUUCCUAUUAUGUUGUCCACAACCUCCACUUAGUGUUAUUCAGCACAUAAUUAGACAGAACAGUAUAGAAGGGUCUAUUUUCAUGGUCUGCUUCCCUUCACCAUGAGUUAGAAAAGACUGGGGUUUUUUGAACAAACUAUAACUUGUUAUAGUUUAUGGAAACAAUAACAAUGAAGGAGGGAUUGUGUGUGUGUGUAUGAUUGUGUAUGUUUCCUCUAAACAAACAAGUGGGAUUUCAGUGUACAGCAUGUGUAUCUCUGCGUGUGCAGAAGUAGAGCAGAGGGCCCUGAACAGAUCUCAGCCAACCACCUUCUCUUGGCACCAGUUCUUCUUUUGUUGUGGUUCCUGUCAGAAACAAAAGAUCCAUAUUCCAUCUCUUCAGUAGGGCCCUAAACCACUGGCCCUCUUUGGAAUGACUGGCUUUCAUCUAACAUCCAAGACCCAACAAGCAUAGUCAGGGCCUGCUGACUGGCAAUGUCUCUGAAUUUGCACUAAAACCAAAGAAAUAACAAAAAAAAAAUUGUAAAAAUUGCUAUAUUUUUGAAAACACUAGCUGCAAACAAAAAUAUUUCAAGCUGUUCUUGGAGCUGGGCCUGUAGUGCAAUUCAGACUGUUUAAGGUUGAUUUCAAAUACAGGUUUGCUUCCAGGAAGGGUGGAGCACACUGCAAAAUCGUCCAAGUAGACACCAAAAUUGCUAUGGAGAGGUGAUGGCAAGUAUUAAGCAUUUUCCCCGCAUUCACUGUUAAAUAUAAGGCACAGAUUACUUUGCUGCUUUUUUAAGUGUGUAAUUACUGUAUAUUCAAGGUCAGGACUAUUUGACUUAAGACCUGUGAUUAGUGUUGUUCACAGACAGCUUGUCCUCCAACCGGAAGGUGGGAGUUCAAGCUCACUGACAGCAAGGAUCAGCCCAGCUAAAGUGUGUGCAUAUAUAUGUGUGUGUUUAACUAAUGGCAUUAGUUUGGUUGCAGAAGUGGAGGGGACUUAAUUUAUUUCUAUACAUUCAUAUCAAUCUAGCAAAUAAAUUAUGAUGACAUUUUUGUCAUGCUUUUCCUAACUGGUAUUAAAACAAAAUAACUAAUAUCUAAUAAUUUGUGAUAAAUAAUGUAAUUGUAAUUGCAUAUUUACUACAAAGAGCACUGUCCUUUACUGCCUUAUCUUUGAUUGAUUUUCAGUUCUUUUUAGGAGAAUAUUAAUUGUAAAUAAAAACAUAGAUUAAAUUAUUUCUAUGCUUGAAAAACAUGCAGAGGAGGUGAACGUACCGUUUUCAGCCCUGAUUCUUGCCUGCAGGUUUUCCUUUCAGGCUGCAUACAGACUGCAGUUAGGGCAGCCUGGCCUGAGAGGCAAAACAAGGGGCAAAAAAGUCUGAAAAGCACUCAUUGCUUCUCCCUGCUAAAGCUUCAUUCCUGUGUGGUAAUAUUUGAAGAUGAGUGUAUCAACUUUUCUAUCCUCCCCAGUGGAAAUUACACCCUUGUGUGUGAAAGGCAUGGAAAGCGAACUGGCCAGUGUAUUCUUCUUCUGGAAUCAUUACAGUAAUAAAAACCUGUUACACUA